GACGAACGCUGGCGGCGUGCUUAACACAUGCAAGUCGAACGGAAAGUCCCUGCUUUUGUGGGGUGCUCUAGUGGCGAACGGGUGAGUAACACGUGAGUAACCUGCCCUUGACUUUGGGAUAACUUCAUGAAACUGGGUCUAAUACCGGCUAGGAGCUCCUGCUUCAUGGUGGGGGUUGGAAAGUUUCGGCGGUUGGGGAUGGACUCGCGGCUUAUCAGCUUGUUGGUGGGGUAGUGGCUUACCAAGGCUUUGACGGGUAGCCGGCCUGAGAGGGUGACCGGCCACAUUGGGACUGAGAUACGGCCAAGACUCAGACGGGAGGCAGAAGUGGGGAAUAGGGAACAUUGGGCGGAAGCCUGAUGCAGCAACGCCGCGGGCGGGAUGACGGCCUUCGGGUUGUAAACCGCUUUCGCCUGUGACGAAGAGGGAGUGAAGGUAAUGGGUAAAGAAGCACCGGCUAAAUACGUG
rnacentral:rRNA from 1 species